AUCUUCAUUGCAUUAUUUUUAAUCAACUGCGUGAUCUUAUUCAAGUCUUUGGAAUAAUUUGAAACUUGAUAAGACUGUCAUUGAUGAAAAUUUAUGUAACCU
rnacentral:pre_miRNA from 1 species